rnacentral:rRNA from 1 species
UUUGGGUCCAACCUCCCACCCGUGUUUAUUUUACCUUGUUGCUUCGGCGGGCCCGCCUUUACUGGCCGCCGGGGGGCUCACGCCCCCGGGCCCGCGCCCGCCGAAGACACCCUCGAACUCUGUCUGAAGAUUGAAGUCUGAGUGAAAAUAUAAAUUAUUUAAAACUUUCAACAACGGAUCUCUUGGUUCCGGCAUCGAUGAAGAACGCAGCGAAAUGCGAUACGUAAUGUGAAUUGCAAAUUCAGUGAAUCAUCGAGUCUUUGAACGCACAUUGCGCCCCCUGGUAUUCCGGGGGGCAUGCCUGUCCGAGCGUCAUUGCUGCCCUCAAGCCCGGCUUGUGUGUUGGGCCCCGUCCUCCGAUUCCGGGGGACGGGCCCGAAAGGCAGCGGCGGCACCGCGUCCGGUCCUCGAGCGUAUGGGGCUUUGUCACCCGCUCUGUAGGCCCGGCCGGCGCUUGCCGAUCAACCCAAAUUUUUAUCCAGGUUGACCUCGGAUCAGGUAGGGAUACCCGCUGAACUUAA